GGCUUUAUAGUCUAUAUUAUGAUUCUAGAUUGCAAGUCUAGAGGUGCUAUUAAGCUAAAGCUU
rnacentral:tRNA from 1 species